GAUGAACGCUAGCUACGAGGCUUAACACAUGCAAGUCGGAGGGGCAGGCGGGGGAGGAUGCUUGCAUUCUCCGCCGGCGACCGGCGCACGGGUGCGUAACGCGUAUCGAACCUACCUCAUACUUGGGCAUAGCCUUGACGAAAGUAAGAUUAAUUCCCGAUGUUCUGCCAAAUUCGCAUGAGAUUGGCAGCAAAGUAUUUCGGUAUGAGAUGGCGAUGCGUCCCAUUAGUUAGUUGGCGGGGUAACGGCCCACCAAGACAUC
rnacentral:rRNA from 1 species